CAGAGGUGGCCUUGGCUUACUGUCAUGUAGGGAAAACUUAGCACUUCCAAAUAUCCAGCAAGUCCUCCCAGAUUUUACCAUACACCUACACACUAGGGACAGUGACCAAUUGACCUACCAACGCACAGAAAUAAUGAGGUCUGAACCAACGUGGUCCUGGUGGAAAGGUAAUUGGUAGAAGAUACAGGAGCCUGAAGGCAUGUACCACCAGACUUAAGGACAGCUCUACCCCACUGUGAUAAGACUAUUGAACGGUUCCCUUAUAUGAUGAGAUGGACUAUGACCUCACGAUCUACCUUGUUGUGACCUUGCACCUUAUUGCACUGCACUUCCUCUGUAGCUGUGACACUUUACUCUGUAUUGUUAUUGUUUUUACCUGUACUACAUCAAUGCACUCUGUACUAAUCCAAUGUAACUGCACUGUGUAAUGAAUUAACCUGUAUCAUUGGUAUGCAGGACAAGUUUUUCACUGUACCUCGGUACAAGUGACAAUAAUAAACCAAUACCAAUACCAUACUACCAUUGGGGAGGAGGUACAGGAGCCUGAAGAUCCACACUCACUGUUUCAGGAACAGCUUCUUCCCCUCCACCAUCAGAUUUCUGAAUGAUCCAUGAACUCAUGAA